rnacentral:rRNA from 1 species
GACGAACGCUGGCGGCGUGCUUAACACAUGCAAGUCGAACAGAAAGGCCCUGCUUUUGUGGGGUGCUCGAGUGGCGAACGGGUGAGUAACACGUGAGUAACCUGCCCUUGACUUUGGGAUAACUUCAGGAAACUGGGGCUAAUACCGGAUAGGAACUCCUGCUGCAUGGUGGGGGUUGGAAAGUUUCGGCGGUUGGGGAUGGACUCGCGGCUUAUCAGCUUGUUGGUGGGGUAGUGGCUUACCAAGGCUUUGACGGGUAGCCGGCCUGAGAGGGUGACCGGCCACAUUGGGACUGAGAUACGGCCCAGACUCCUACGGGAGGCAGCAGUGGGGAAUAUUGCACAAUGGGCGGAAGCCUGAUGCAGCAACGCCGCGUGCGGGAUGACGGCCUUCGGGUUGUAAACCGCUUUCGCCUGUGACGAAGCGUGAGUGACGGUAAUGGGUAAAGAAGCACCGGCUAACUACGUG